UACGGAGGGUGCAAGCGUUGUCCGGAUUUAUUGGGUUUAAAGGGUGCGUAGGUGGUUUAUUAAGUCAGUGGUGAAAGACGAUCGCUCAACGAUUGCAGUGCCAUUGAUACUGGUAGACUUGAGUUACAUUAAGGUAGGCGGAAUUGAUAGUGUAGCGGUGAAAUGCAUAGAUAUUAUCAAGAACUCCGAUUGCGUAGGCAGCUUACUAGGUGUAAACUGACACUGAGGCACGAAAGUGUGGGUAUCAAACAGG
rnacentral:rRNA from 1 species